CGUGUAGGCGGCCUCUUAAGUCUGAUGUGAAAGCCCGGGGCUUACCCCCGGAAGGGCAUUGGAAACUGGGAGGCUAGAGUACCGGAGAGGAAGGUGGAAUUCCUGGUGUAGCGGUGAAAUGCGUAGAUAUCAGGAGGAACACCGGUGGCGAAGGCGGCCUUCUGGACGGAUACUGACGCUGAGACGCGAAAGCGUGGGGAGCAAACAGGAUUAGAUACCCUGGUAGUCCACGCUGUAAACGAUGGGCACUAGGUGUUCGGGGUAUUGACCCCCUGAGUGCCGCAGCUAACGCAUUAAGUGCCCCGCCUGGGGACUACGGCCGCAAGGUUAAA
rnacentral:rRNA from 1 species